AGUGAACGCUGGCGGUAGGCCUAACACAUGCAAGUCGAACGGCAGCACAGUAAGAGCUUGCUCUUACGGGUGGCGAGUGGCGGACGGGUGAGGAAUACAUCGGAAUCUACUUUUUCGUGGGGGAUAACGUAGGGAAACUUACGCUAAUACCGCAUACGACCUACGGGUGAAAGCAGGGGAUCUUCGGACCUUGCGCGAUUGAAUGAGCCGAUGUCGGAUUAGCUAGUUGGCGGGGUAAAGGCCCACCAAGGCGACGAUCCGUAGCUGGUCUGAGAGGAUGAUCAGCCACACUGGAACUGAGACACGGUCCAGACUCCUACGGGAGGCAGCAGUGGGGAAUAUUGGACAAUGGGCGCAAGCCUGAUCCAGCCAUACCGCGUGGGUGAAGAAGGCCUUCGGGUUGUAAAGCCCUUUUGUUGCGAAAGAAAAGCAGCAGGUUAAUACCCCGCUGUUCUGACGGUACCCAAAGAAUAAGCACCGGCUAACUUCGU
rnacentral:rRNA from 1 species